rnacentral:rRNA from 1 species
AACGCUAGCUACAGGCUUAACACAUGCCAGUCGUGGGGCAGCAUGGGAGAUGCUUGCAUUUCCCGAUGGCGACCGGCGCACGGGUGAGUAACGCGUAUCCAACCUGCCCUUCACUCCGCACAGCCCGUCGAAAGACGGAUUAAUGCGGGAUGCAGUCAGAAAGAUGCAUAUUAAUUUGACGAAAGGCCUUCGGGUCGGUGAGGGAUGGGGAUGCGUCCGAUUAGCUUGACGGCGGGGUAACGGCCCACCGUGGCGACGAUCGGUAGGGGUUCUGAGAGGAAGGUCCCCCACAUUGGAACUGAGACACGGUCCAAACUCCUACGGGAGGCAGCAGUGAGGAAUAUUGGUCAAUGGCCGGGAGGCUGAACCAGCCAAGUAGCGUGAAGGAUGACGGCCCUACGGGUUGUAAACUUCUUUUAUAAGGGAAUAAAGGGCGCCACGCGUGGUGUUUUGCAUGUACCUUAUGAAUAAGCAUCGGUUAACUCCGUGCCAGCAGCCGCGGUAAUACGGAGGAUGCGAGCGUUAUCCGGAUUUAUUGGGUUUAAAGGGAGCGCAGGCGGGCGAUUAAGUCAGUUGUGAAAUGCCACGGCUCAACCGUGGACUUGCAGUUGAUACUGGUUGCCUUGAGUGCGGCAGAGGCAGGCGGAAUUCGUGGUGUAGCGGUGAAAUGCUUAGAUAUCACGAAGAACUCCGAUUG